rfam:Triticum aestivum genome assembly, contig: Triticum_aestivum_CS42_TGACv1_scaffold_577135_7BL
CCAGUACUCCCUCCGUCCGAAAAAGCUUGUCCCUCAUAUGGAUGUAUCUAGCACCAAGUUAGUGCUACCAUUUGAGAAAUAAGCUUGGGACAAGUUUUUCCGGACGGAGGGAGUAUGAU